rnacentral:rRNA from 1 species
GACGAACGCUGGCGGCGUGCUUAACACAUGCAAGUCGAACGGUAAGGCCCUUCGGGGUACACGAGUGGCGAACGGGUGAGUAACACGUGGGUGAUCUGCCCUGCACUUCGGGAUAAGCCUGGGAAAUUGGGUCUAAUACCGGAUAGGACCACUGCCUGCAUGGGUGGUGGUGGAAAGCUUUUGCGGUGUGGGAUGGGCCCGCGGCCUAUCAGCUUGUUGGUGGGGUGAUGGCCUACCAAGGCGACGACGGGUAGCCGGCCUGAGAGGGUGACCGGCCACACUGGGACUGAGAUACGGCCCAGACUCCUACGGGAGGCAGCAGUGGGGAAUAUUGCACAAUGGGCGCAAGCCUGAUGCAGCAACGCCGCGUGAGGGAUGACGGCCUUCGGGUUGUAAACCUCUUUUAGCACCGACGAAGCGCAAGUGACGGUAGGUGCAGAAGAAGGACCGGCCAACUACGUGCCAGCCGCCGCCGUAA